CAAAAUUCCACAUUAUGCAAACUAAAUUGCCAUUUCUAUGAUCAAAGCUAAGCAAGGUUAUCCACUCUAACACAACAAUCAAUAUAUGAGACGAUCCUUCUACGACACCACAUUGCACAACAUUAUGUGAAGAACCCCUAGAGCUGUUACCUGUUAGCAUUGACAAAGGUCUUCAGGCGUUCAAGUAUACCGUCACCAAGAUGAUCGAGCACGAGAUCAACUCCGUCAACAACAACCCCUUGAUCGAUGUUUCUAAAAACAAGGCCCUCCAUGGUGGCAACUUCCAAGGGACUCCCAUCAGCGUCUCCAUCGACAAUUCCAGACUAGCAAUCGCUUCAAUCGGUAAACUCAUGUUUUUCCGGCUGCCGAACCAAGCACCGCGUCGCCGACUACUGCUGGAGAGGAAGCCGCCGCUUCUGGAAGUCGCCGCUGCUGAGGAAGGUCGCGCCGCCGACUGGAGUGCUCCGCGCCGCAGAGGAAGGGUCGCCGCUGCUGCUGCCGCUGGAGAGAAAGGUCGCCGCCGCCGGUGGAGAUUUUUUGGGAAGGUCACCGCAAAACUGGAGAGAAAGGGGUUUUCUUAUUUUUGUUUUAUUUUUUAUUCUCUAAGUCAAAUAAAAUUUAUUUUAAUUUCCUUUUAUUU